rnacentral:rRNA from 1 species
GUGGGGAAUUUUGCGCAAUGGGCGAAAGCCUGACGCAGCGACGCCGCGUGGAGGAUGAAGGUCUUCGGAUUGUAAACUCCUUUUGUAGGGGACAAUAAUGAUGGUACCCUAUGAAUAAGCCACGGCUAACUCUGUGCCAGCAGCCGCGGUAAGACAGAGGUGGCAAGCGUUGUUCGGAAUUACUGGGCUUAAAGGGCGCGUAGGCGGUGGAGUAAGUCCGGGGUGGAAGGCUGAGGCUUAACCUCAGGAUUGCCCUGGAAACUGCAUCACUUGAGUCAGCAAGGGGAUGGCGGAAUUCCUGGUGUAGCGGUGAAAUGCGUAGAUAUCAGGAGGAAGGCCGGUGGCGAAGGCGGCCAUCUGGUGCUGAACUGACGCUGAGGCGCGAAAGCGUGGGGAGCAAACAGGAUUAGAAACCCGAGUAGUCC